GCUUCAAAGCAACAAAUCAAUUGGAGAUACAAUGGUUUUUCUGCUGAUUCUUACAGACAUUAUCCAAUAUUGCAGCUUCAGUUCCAAGGAUGGAGAGUGACUGAGAUAUUAACUUGAGCAACUAGCCAAUGAGAUUUAUUAGAUUAAAUUCUCUGCCUAUCAGAGCUUUUUGGGGGUGGCAAGGCUAAUAUUACCUUGGGGUUCCUUCUCUUUCUCAACUCUCAACUUUUUAAAUCAACCAUGAACCCUAAUAGUACAGUUGAGAACGUGUACUUCUGAUUGUGAUCUGAAAUCUUCUCUGAUAAGGUUGCCCAUUCCCCUUGCUGAUCUAUAGCUCCUGUGCCUUUCUUUAAAAAAAAAUACUUCUUGUUUGGAUGAUUGUAGAAAAAAGCAUGCACCCUUUUAAAGCUUCAAAUGAUUAAAAACAAAUUAUGCCCACCCUAACCCAAUCAGCAAUUUUUCCUGUAAAAAGGGAAUGGAGAACUGAAGGAGGGAGGGAAGGCUAGAAGUAAGGCUAGUCUCUGAUUUUCAGAGAUUUGAGCAGUGAAGACAACAGGAAACGCCAAAUCGCUGGAUGACUUCUGCAUAGUGUGGCAAUAGAAAUUAUACCCAGCUCAGUGGCUAAGUGUAGAGACUGCAGUGAACUAAGACCAAGAAAAGAAAUAUGGCUGUGAAGACAUGUGCAUGCACAGGGAGAUGGGACAUCCGUAUGAGGAACCUAACAUGGGAACAGCUCUGAACAAUUCCACCUUGUCUUCUACAAGAAAGCCUUCACAUACCUGAAGACAGCUAUCAGAUCUUCCCAGAGUCUUCUCUUCUUUGGGCUAAAGAUAUGCAAUACCGCAAAUAAUUUCUUAUGUGUUGACUCUGAUGCUGCUGGGUGACUCUCCGAAAGAGCAAUUCAGUUGAAGAAGUCAGAAUUCCUGAGGCAAACUUCUUUUGUGGAUGUCAGCCCUUUGAGGUAGUCCAGACAAGAAGCCCCAACCAUAAGUACUAACACUACCUUU